rnacentral:rRNA from 1 species
UUGCACGCUGGCGGCAUGCUUUACACAUGCAGGUCGAACGGUAACAGGCCGCAAGGUGCUGACGAGUGGCGAACGGGUGAGUAAUGCAUCGGAACGUGCCCAGUCGUGGGGGAUAACUACUCGAAAGAGUAGCUAAUACCGCAUACGAUCUAUGGAUGAAAGCGGGGGACCGUAAGGCCUCGCGCGAUUGGAGCGGCCGAUGUCAGAUUAGGUAGUUGGUGGGGUAAAGGCUCACCAAGCCAACGAUCUGUAGCUGGUCUGAGAGGACGACCAGCCACACUGGGACUGAGACACGGCCCAGACUCCUACGGGAGGCAGCAGUGGGGAAUUUUGGACAAUGGGCGCAAGCCUGAUCCAGCAAUGCCGCGUGCAGGAAGAAGGCCUUCGGGUUGUAAACUGCUUUUGUACGGAACGAAACGGCUCUGGUUAAUACCCGGGGCUAAUGACGGUACCGUAAGAAUAAGCACCGGCUAACUACGUG